UCUCCGUUGGUGAACCAGCGGAGGGAUCAUUAUCGAGUUUAUAACUCCCAAACCCUAUGUGAACUUACCACUUGUUGCUUCGGCGCGCGCUUCGGUGCCGCCGAGGACACUUAAACUCUUUGUUUUUAUAAGCAUUUCUGAGUGGCCGAAAGGCAAAAUACAAAUGAAUCAAAACUUUCAACAACGGAUCUCUUGGUUCUG
rnacentral:misc_RNA from 1 species